CCUGCCUCUGUUGUUACUUACUCCUCUUUUGUGCCCUGCCUCUGCCUUUGCUCUUGUGUUUUGUUCUUAAAAUUUCUUGGGUCAGCUUGUCCUCCACAAAUUAAGAUAGUCAUCUCAUAACCCGGCGUGUUUUUUUUUCACAUCAAGUUUGGGCGCACCAGGUAGACAGGCAUGCGUCCACAGUCCAGUGCCUCGAAAUGGGCGGCACCAGGAAACCACCGGCAAGUCUAUUACUGAACGGUCAUUGAUUUAUGUUGAAUGUGUCCUGCAAAAGAGCGAUGGUAAAGGUCAAGCCCCAUCUCCCACCCGCGUGGGCGGACCAUGCAGCUCGUCUUGUCGUCUUUUACUCCUAGGUGGCACCUGCAUCACGCUCAAGCAUUGGGAGGAAAUGUGGAAAGAUGAACACAAGAUCGAUGUCUAGGUCAUUAACCAGCAAUGCAACAUAUAUUACAGUAGUAGACACUUGCGGGUAAUUUCUACGGACUGUGCUUACGGACGCUAUCAAGGUCUCACCUCUCACGUGGUUAGUGGAGAUUGAAACGGCUGGUCCUCGUAUUCCUCCACCGAGCGGCGACUUGACGCCACGUCUGUCUGUAGGCUCCUUGCGUAGCAAAGCAUCCGUAAGAAGAGCAUUAUUGUAAUAGGACUGACUAAGACAUCAGUCACUCAAGAUAAGGGACACUAAUCACAAGAGAAAAGCUCAUUGCUAGUCACCUGGGAGCUCGUAUAUGGCUUGAGCCUUGUUGAUAAAAAAUAAAUAAAUUCAGUGCACGAGUGGAGUACAAAUGCACAGUGGCCGGCCUACAUGACCCUUACUUUCCUCCUUGCCUUGACGAGUACUGGAGAGCCCAUGCGACUUCCUUAUUCUUGUCUUCGGUUCAAACUUCACAGUCACUUCGUCCUCUUCGACCCUAGCCGCCACUCCCCGAUAAAUUCAUUAUUUUGACCCUUCUUGUAAAGUUAAGAUGUAUCUGAUCCUAACAUGAAAAAAUAUAUUUGGAUCUAAUUCUUUUUCUACCGUCACCCUGUGUUGCGCGCGGUAGGCUAACACAGGCUACCGCCACUGUCUUUGGUGGUAGGGAGGCGACGAAUGCAGAUGGCGCCAUUUGCUCGGAUGACGUGGAUAAUAGCCUACCGCGACAGGUAGUGGCGAUAGGGUGUCAUAGCCUUCCGCCACAUUUGGUGGCGGUAGGGUACUCAGUGUGGAUAAGUGAAUUGCUGGUUGGUUGGUGUGUCCCACCAGCCACCCAUUCAUCCCUAAACCCCCUCUUCCCCGAGCUGGGCUCCUCUCCCUUCUCUUUCCCUCAUUUUUGCCUUCACCAAAUCCAUCUUCAUUGCUUGAGUUUUCUCCGGUGGAUCGAGCUCAAUUUCAUCACUCAAGGUACCUCACUCACUCUCUUCUUUUUGGUUGGUUGGAAUUAUCUAAUUUGGUGGCAUUCUAUACUUGUAUGCAAACCCUAGUUUAGGUCAUUUUGAUGUGAAAUCAAUGCAUUUGAGGGAUGACAGGGUUGUUUCCAUGCUUGAUUGCGGGCUCCUCCUUCAUCUCCGUCGUAAGGUUGUCCCACAGAGUGUUACCUCCAUCAGGUAUGGCGGAUCUGCUGCAAGGGAGGAGGAUGGGAGGAGAAUGUGGAGCAGCUUGUGUUGCGGGGUGAAGUUAACCGGGUGUGGUCACCUUUAAUUAGCUUAUUCCGAUGAGGUCGGGCAUCCGAGUGCGUUAAUGCACGACACUGGAGUGGGUUUCUCGACCGACGAGCCUGUUUAAUGCUGGCAUAUGGAUGAACCGCAAAUUGAACGGGUGUGGUAGAUAAUAGUCCUAUCUUGUCCCGUAAAGCGUCUCCGACAGUGAACAAGCGCGAACACCGGGGAGGCAUCCUCGAUGGUGUCUUCGGCCAACGAGCCACCUCAAUGGCGAAGCAAGUAUGUGUAGUAUGCCUAAUCAUCAUGUUUGUAACAUCGAUCUACAGUUAUUCUUAGGCAUUUUUGUAGGUUUAGGGCUAGGGUUAGGCAAUGUGAUUAGUAAGUAGUUAGGGUUAAGCAAUAAUAUUUUGUUAUUUGUAUUUUUGUUUGAAUUUAAUGCACAGAUCUUUUUGAUCCAUAUUAUGUUGCUAUCCUAUCAUUCAUCUUUUUUUUACAAUGUACUUAGAUGGAUAGACUCGUUAAUGUACAUUAUUUGGAUAAGAAGGCAUUUAUGAAAGGCAAUAUAGAUGAAUGGGAAGAGUCCAUGGUUUUUGACUCAAGCCCAACUUAUGAGGAGGUGGUUAUGACAGUUAGAAAUGUGUUAAAUUGGAUUGACCCAAAUGAUAAAGUUAAGCUUAAUCGAAGGUAUGAUGUUGGAGUGGGGGUGAAGUCUCGAUUGAAGAGUAUGCCUAUCGCCUCAGAAUUGCAUUGGAAGGCUUACAAGGAUAAAGUAGUUGAAUCACAAGACAAAUCACUUGAAUUAUUAUAUGCCACCAAGAUUGAGCUUCCUGUCCUACAAAUUGACUUGAACCGACAUGCCACCUCCUUAAUACAUGAUGGAAGGGUGGAGGUGUAUGUCCCCAAUUCUUCUAGUCAACCACCAAAUGAAGCGGAGAUGAAUGAUAGAGCCAUGGUAAUUCAAGAGGAAGAGGUUCAUGUUGAUGCUGACGCUGCUUAUGUUGAUGAUGAUGAUGCUCAUGUUCAGAUGAUGCUAUUACCCAUGUUGAUGCUUAUGCAAAAGUUCAAGAGAUUCAUUAUAAUCCCAUUGGAAACUUGGAUGUUAUUCGGUACCAGCAAGAUAUGGAUCGUAGCCUCCCCUAUAGUCGUAUGUAUGGGUAUGACUCGGAUGACGAGGGUCCGACAAAGGAAUUGGACGAGGAUGAUUCACCGCACAAGAAAAUGAAAUUUUCAAGAAGGUGACGGGGAAGGAAAGAGGCGCCCCAUUGUUUCAUGAUCUUAUUCUUGUCGACAAGGCCGUUGUUGAUGGUGGCAUGAGAUUGGGGUUGUUUGAACCAACACCAUGCACGAAGGUCAGUGACCCUAAACCCAAGGAUGAGGACGAGAAUGUUAAUUUGAAGAAAGGCAUCAAGUUCGGUUAGAGUGACUAUGCCAUUAGGAACCAUAGGCCUUUUGUUAUCGAUUAUUUCGACCAAAAUCUGUGGUGCGCCAUCAAUUGUGACAAAGUAGGUUGCCCUUGGAAGGUUAGUGGAAGAAAAAUUGAAGAAACGGGGCAAUGGACGUUGAAGAGUUGUGUGGACACUUACUUGUGCAUACCACCAGACAAAGCUGACCGCAACAAUGAACACCGUCAAGUCACGUUUGAGUUCUUAGGAUACAAAUUGUUGAAUGGGAUAUACCACGAUCCAACCUCAUGAGUUCGGUUGAAGAACGGUUCAAAUAAAAGGUCAACUAUGGGAAGGUAUACAAGGCCAAGGCAAAUGCUAUCAGGAUGGUGCAUGGUGAUUAUGAGGCCGCGUACAAUAUUCUACCGUGGAUGCUGGUUGCCAUUGCACAUAGGAACCCUGGCAUGUGUCAUGCGAUGGAGGAAAUUGACGGAGUGUUUCAUCGUGCAUUGAUGAUACGUCUCCAACGUAUCUAUAAUUUUUAAUUGUUCCAUGCUAUUAUAUUAUCUGUUUUGGAUGUUUUAUAUGCAUUAAUAUGCUGUUUUAUAUUAUUUUUGGGACUAACCUAUUAAUCUAGAGCCUAGUGCCAGUUUCUAUUUUUUUUCCAUGUUUUAAAGUAUUGCAGAUAAGGAAUAUUAAACGGAGUCCAAACGGAAUAAAAUUUCCGAAAUGAUUUUUCUUGGACCAGAAGAAAUGCAGGAGACUUGGAGUAGGGGACAGGGCAUUUGACGGGAGCCCACAAGCCUGCAGGGCGCGUCCUAUUGGGGUGGUCGUGCCCCUGGCUUGUGGGUCCCGUGCAGGUCUCAUAACCUUAUUCUUUGGCCUAUAAAUUCCCAAAUAUUCCCAUAUCGCAGAAGAGAGCCACGAAAAUACUUCUACGUAGUCGGGAGCCUCUGUUCCCGUGAGAUCCAAUCUGGGAGCCUUUUCCGGGAAUCUGCCGGAGUGGGAAUUGAUCAUGGAUGGCAUCUACAUCAACUCCAUUUCCCCUCCGAUGAUGCAUGAGUAGUUCACCACAGACCUACGGGUCCAUAGCUAGUAGCCAGAUGGCUUCUUCUCUCUCUUUGAUCUUCAAUAGCAUGUUCUUCAUGAUCUUCAUGGAGAUCUAUCCGAUGUAAUACUCUUUUGCGGUGUGUUUGUCGAGAUCGGAUGAAUUGUGAGUUUAUGUUCAGAUUAUCCAUGAAUAUUAUUUGCAUCUCUUCUGAAUUCUUAUAUGCAUGAUUUCAUAUCUUUGCAAGUCUCUUCGAAUUAUUGGUUUGGUUUGGCCAACUAGAUUGGUAAUUCUUGCAAUGGGAGAGGUGCUAAGUUUUGGGUUCAAUCUUGCGAUGUCCUCACCCAGUGACAUAGUAGGGGUAGCGAGCCACGAAUUGUACUGUUUCCAUCGAGGAUAAAAAGAUGGGGUUUUCAUCAUAUUGCUUGAGUUUAUCCCUCGACAUCAUGUCAUCUUACUUAAUGCGUUACUUUGUUCUUCAUGAACUUAAUACUCUAGAUGCAAGCAGGGGUCGGUCAAUGUGUGGAGUAAUAGUAGUAGAUGCAGAAUCGUUUCGGUCUACUUGACACGAACGUGAUGCUUAUAUGCUUAAUCAUUGCCUUGGAUAUCUUCAUAAUUAUUUGCUUUUCUAUCAAUUGCUUGACAGUAAUUUGUUCACCCACUGUAUUAUUUUUCUUUAUGAGAGAAGCCUCUAGUGAAACCUAUGGCCCCCAGGUCUUUUUCCAUACUAUAUUUUCAGAUCUAUAAACCAACAAUACCAAAAAUAUCAUGCUGCAAUUUAUUUACUUUUGUUUCCGCAAUCUUUUAUAUCCAUCUCUAUCAGAUCUCAUCCUUGCAAAUAACUCUGAAGGGAUUGACAACCCCUUUAUAGCGUUGGGUGCAAGUGUUUGAUUGUUUGUGUAGGUACUAUGAUUGGGGCCUUACUUGUUCCUCCUACUGGAUUGAUACCUUGGUUCUCAAAAAACCGAGGGAAAUACUUAUCUACUUCUCUGCAUCACCCUUUCCUCUUCAAGGGAAAACCAACGCAAGCUCAAGAGGUAGCAAGAAGGAUUUCUGGCGCCAUUGCUGGGGAGGAUACAUAGCAAGAUCAAGCCUACCAAGUACCCAUCACAAACUCAUCUCUUGCAUUUACUUUAUUUGCCAUUUGCCUCUCGUUUUCCUCUCCCCCACUUCUAAAACGAUUUUCAGAAAAUACCAAAAAGAUUUGCCUUUUUAUUCGCCCUUUUUCCGUUUGUCUUUUUGUUUGCUUGCUUGUGUGCUAGAUUGCUUGCCCUGUCACGAUGGAUCAAGAUAAUACCAGGUUAUGUGACUUUUCCACUACUACUACUAAUGAUUUUAUUAGUACUCCAAUUGCUCCCGCCACUAGUGUGGAAUAUUGUGAAAUUAAUGCCGCUUUGCUCAAUCUUGUUAUGAAAGAACACUUUUUUAGCAUUCCUAGUGAAGAUGCCGCAUCCCAUCUAAAUACUUUCGUUGAGUUGUGUGAUAUGCAAAACAAGAAAUAUGUGGAUAAUGAAAAUUUUAAAUUGAAGCUAUUUCCUUUCUCACUACGAGAUCGUGCCAAAACUUGGUUUUCAUCUUUACCUAAAAAUAGUAUUGAUUCAUGGAAUAAGUGUAAACAUGUUUUUAUUUCCAAGUACUUUCCGCCCGCUAAGAUUAUCUCCCUUAGGAACGAUAUAAUGAAUUUUAAGCAACUUGAUCAUGAGCAUGUUGCGCAAUCUUGGAAGAGGAUGAAACUAAUGAUUAGGAAUUGCCCCGCGCAUGGUUUGAGUUUACACUACAACAAAAACAUCAUGUAUGGUCGCUUUUUCGGGGUCGCUUUUUUGUUCGCCUCUACGCCCAUGAACACUACCGACCUAAAGACGUUUUUAAGACGUUUACAAAGCACCACAAGCUUUUUCUUAUAAACAACCUUCAAGAAAAUAAUUUUUUUAUUUUAAUUAACUUAAAGACGAUUUGUGAGACGUUUUAAUGUGCGACUCUAUUCUUAGAGACGAUUUAUGAGACGUUGUAAUGUGCGGCUCUAUUCUUAGAUAUGAAUGUGAGAGGAAUUAUGAGACGUAUGUGAGACUCUAGAGAACAUUCAUGAGAUGUUUAGAUGUGCGAUUUUUCUUAUCUUAGACUUAAGAAAACAUUAAAUAAUUAUAUUUUCUAAAACUCAGAUAGCUAUUAAAAUUAGCUGCACUAAACUUUGAAUAAAUGUGAUUUCUUAUUUGAUUCUCACCUUAACGAUCUCCUCUCCAUAUAUGCUUCUAUCAAAACUUGGAUGUUUUUUCAUGACUUUCUUUGCACUUUGAUGAUUUGCCCCUAUUUUCAUUGACACUAUGUUUUUCCCACACUUUUGCCGAAACUUUGAUGAUUUGUUCCUUUUAACCCGUUUCCAUAAUUUUCAUAUAAUGCAACUAAACUGAUUAUUAAAAUUGUUGGGGAACGUAGCAUGGGAAACCAAAAAAUUUCAUGUAAUGCACGCAAUACCUAUCCAUGGUGAUGAUCAUCUACGAGAUGAGAGAUUGAAUCUACAUACCCUUGUGGAUCAUUAAGCGGAAGCGUAUAUAACGCGGUUGAUGUAGUGGAACAUAUUCGCGAUCCAAAUCGUAGCCCGUCCUGCGAUCUUAUCACGAUCUGUAGCAAUAAACUGACACGAUCAUAUGCUACGUUUAUAGUUUGGUCUUGUCCAUCACAUCAUUCUCCUAAUGAUGUGAUCCCAUUAUCAAGUGACAACACUUGUCUAUGGCUAGAAAACCUUAACCAUCUUUGAUCAACGAGCAAGUCAACUAGAGGCUCACUAGGGACAGUGUUUUGUCUAUGCAUCCACACAUGUAUUUGAGUUUCCAAUUAAUAUAAUUAUAGCAUUGGAUAAUAAACGAUUAUCAUGAAUAUCGUGUCACAUCUCGAGGAUUUCCAACGGUAUUUUAAGUGGGGCAGGGGACGGGACUCCAGGCGAGCGCGGCCGGCAACGACGAGGUGGAGGCGGGAGGGAACCCUAGCGGUAGCUAGCGGGAGCGCCGAAUACGAUCAUACGUGUGUUUGCAUAGGUUAAAGAAAAGAACCUAAAAGAAAUUAUAAAAGAUAAAAUAUUAAAAAAACAUUGAAAAAUAUAAAAGAAAAUAUAAAAAAUACAAUACAAUAAAAUAAUAGGGAAAUACAAAAAAAAUACGCGCGGCGCGGGUGCUCUGUUUUGGCCCCCAAAUCGAGCGCGCGCCGCCCCGCCUCCAAUUCGAGCACACCGCGCGCUGCCUCGCCCCCACCUCGUGCCCCCCUCUAUUCCGAGGAGGCCGCCGCGCCGCCCCCUUCCUCUUCCUCGUAGUCAAUCUCAACCCAACGGCCGCCACGCCGCCUCCCUCGUCAUUACUUUCGGCGAUGACAACGGUGCCUCCCGCGCCCGCGUUCUUCCUCCCCAACAACCAGCUGCUCGCCCCCUCUUCGGUCGCUGUGUAGGAGCCAUCGUGCUUGGGCUGCGACGACCAGCAGAGGACCGCCGCCGGCUCGGCUAGAUCUCCUUCCCUCUCCACUACGAAGCACCAGCAAAGGAGGAGUCCUCCUCUUUCCACCCUUGCCGCCGCCCGAAACCCUAGCCACACAGCACCACCCAUGGCGUUGUAGGUCAGAUCCGCAGGAUCCCCUCAAGAGCCUCGGUAUGUAUCCCUCCUUACCUUUUCUUAUUCUUCCUAUGAUGCGUGGGCGUGUGCAGGUCAGAGGAGAAUGAGCCAGAGCAGGUGGAGGAGCAGGCAAACAUCCGGUAACGUCUCUGCUAGCCGGAUUCAGGUUUGUUUCCCUCUCUGUUGAUGUUGUUAACCAUGGCCUGGUCUAUUUAAGGUUCCGGUCAUGGGGUUUCUUAUUUCUCUCAUUUUUCCUUUUAAUAACGGGUCCAACUCUGCUGAAAACAACACGCACUCUAGGUCCUCUUCACUAUAGCUACUUCAUAGCUUGUGCAGUCACUCUGCUCUUGUUGUUUUUAUUAUGGCGUGUCAUUUAUUCAUGCCCAACCCCAAGUCUAGCAACAUCACUAGCAUCGUCCCUUUAUUUUUUCCGUGGUGGAAUAUUUGGUUGCUUGGAUUACUUGAUAUAAUAGAUCCUCAUUCUGUUUUUGUGCGAUUGAUGCUUUUAUAUGUUGUUUUGCUCAUGAUUUCCUACCCUCUGCUGUGUGCUUCAGUGGAUGGUCAGGGCCUAAGUCAAGGCGGCGGUCGACUGCAGCAUGGAGGAGUCAUUGAGCAACUUCGAGCCCAAGGCGGCGGCAUGCGACGACGACCUCAGCCUGCAACAUAAGCUCCGUGACAUGGCAAUAAUCUGUGAAGUAAAUUACUUGGCAUGGUAUUUUGUUUAGGAGCAGAUUUCUCAUUCUUCACUAGAUAAAAAAAUCAACUUGCUGCUUAAUAUCCUAAUUCCAUUGUCAAUAAUCUGCUGCUUAAUUACAGUUGCGUGAUUAUAACUUGUCAUUUUGGGGGAUUUGUUUGCUUCUCAUGAAAUAGAAUGAAUUGUAACUCCACAUUACUGUUCAUUGCUUAGUUCAUUUAUUGAUGAAAGGUUAAAUCUUUACAACUUGCAUGCGUUGAGGCUAUACUGUUAUUAUUGGGAGUGAUAUUUUCACAUGUCAAUAGUGUCACUCAACUAUUUGUGUUGUUCAGGUCGUGUAGGUUCGGCUCAGUCUCGUUGUCUUGGUCCAGCUCACCACCAUCACCGACCGCUACAGACAUUAGAGGUGAGAUCUCUCACCUUCUCUUCUUCCCCUUGCUUUGUGCACGUGGGUUCGAACCACGACUAUUUUGGUUAUGUUGUAUGGGGGCUAUAAUAUAUGCGUAGGUAUUUAUGUGUGGGAUUUAAGUAUGCUUCUGAGAAAAAAUUCUAUCCAAUUUAAACACCGCAUGUCUACCAUGCUUGUGGCAUGGGGGUUACUCGAGGGAGUAAGACUGUCCAGGGCAGGUUUUCAAGUUAUUGGUUGCUAGUUUGCUUAGUACCAACUCUAUUCCAUGGGGAUAUUGUACAUAAAUGUGCAAAUUUGGAUUUUAAGCAUGUUUUUUUUGUAUAUCUGAUAAGUGCACACCUCUGUAACUGCUCCUCUUUGUCUGAUAUUCUAAGGCCAUUAGGCUCCUGUUUGCUUAGUCCUGAUGAAGAGCUUAGUAGCUGUUAUACACGGCUCAUUUUGUAGUGGCCUUUUAGACUGGAUACCUGAAGAGAUCAAUAUUUACUGUAUGCGUAUUGCCAAGGCUCUUAUAGUUUCAGGAACACAUGCUUCAUGCGUCUUUUUUCUGUUAACCCCUAGGAUAAAACACAUAUGUAUGUGUUGCUUUACUCCCAUAGCUUCAGUGCAUCAUUAAACUGCAUGUAUCUAUGUUCUUCCAGUGGUCCUGAGGAUAAAUAUCAUCUUUAUUUCGCAGAUUGGUAAGCUGCAGACUACUAUAUCCAUUGGUGGGAGCAAGUUGGUUCAAACACGGGAGAGUUCAUCCGACAAAAGAGCUUCUCACCGGUUGUAAAAGCAUUAAAUGGCAGGUAUGCAUUGCGGGCAUGAAAGUUCUCUUUGUUUCAAACACACACUCUCUCACACGCACACACAUACAAUGCUUGUUAUUAGGUAUGUCUGAUAUGUAACAUUUUUUGCUAUCUUAUUUUGAGGCUAGAUUGUGUGCGGUAACAAUUUUUAUAAAUAUCUGAAGGUAAAGACAGCUCAUGGAGAUGCCUCUAACCAGACCUCUCCAUAUAUCCUUUUUCUAUAAACUAAGUACAAACUAUUAGUUUAUGUACUCCCAAUUAAUCUGGUUUAGUUUCAGCACAAUUGUUCUCAACCCUUCUCCUCAAAUGCAAGACAUUGAUGUGCACUUACAAAAUUGGGACAAUUUUCGCAUGUAUGGUAAUCAAUUCGAAGUAGAUUCCUGCAGGUGCAUUUUUUUAAUUAUUAACAGGAGAUAUGCCGACGGCUAUGCCGUUGGCGUAGCCAUGCGCCAGGAAGUACCAGAGGCCGACACAUGGUAGAGAUACGCCGACGGCAAUGCCGUCGCGUAGCCAUGAGCCAGGAAACACCAGAAACCGCCACGUGGCCGAUCUAUGCCGACAGCCUCCCCGUCGGGUCAGCUCUGGAUAUAUGCCGGAGGCAUAACCGUCGGCAUAGGGGUGCCACAUGGCUGGCUCCGGUUAGGCGUCGCCCGUCGAUGGUGCUAUCAUCUACCGUCAUGUGGCAAAGGUUGCCGACGGUCUAUCUAUGCCGACGGUUGUGCGACAGUCGUCGGCGUAGGUACCUAUGCCGAUGAAAGCGGCCACAUACACCGACGUUCGCAAUCCCUACGACCCUAUGCCGACAGUGGCCAUCGGCAUACCCCUACACCGACGCGAUAUAGACCUACGCCGACGGCCUUCGUCGGCAACGCUGGUUAUUUCGGUAGUGAUUGUAGAAAGCACACAUCUAAAAAAAAUGAUAAGGUCAAUCAAGGCUGUGAACAAUCAAAUUUACUGGACAAGCAAUUCACUAACCAGGAAUUGCAUCCUAGCAAAUGCGCGAGAAUAAAAGAGGGUUGCACCAGUUUAUGUUCACCACAUGAACACAUAGUUGCUAAGGUGUGUGUCUGCACGCGCAUAAAUUUCUUCUUUGUUAUCAAACAAUUUCUAUGUUUUGUAUAAGAUCAAACUGAACUGAACCUCAAUUGCAGAAAGCACGUGAUGAUCGUGAAUCAAAGGAUGGUCAUACUGAAAGUAUCAAUGCGGCCAAGCAAGGUGGUCCUCAACCAAGUGUACAGCUGAAUCGCGUCACUAAGGGCCUGGUCGGAGGUCCUCCGCUCCGCAAUCCCAAUCUCGGACUUCGUGGAGUGGCAGUUAAAAAUUGUAGAGCGGGGGAAAAGGUGCUCCGCAGAUCCUCAGAUUUGACGGAGCUGGAGCAUCUACGAACAGCUCCUAAGAAGGUAUAUAUAUAACUAUUCUAACCAUUUCUGUAAUACUCCCUCUGUCCCAAAAUAAGUGUCUUAAUCUUAGUAUAACUUUAUACUAUAGUUAGUACAAAGUUAGGACAGUUAUUUUGGGAUGGAGGGAGUAAUAUAUAUAUCAGAUGACAAUGGUUAGAAUAGUUAGUUGGUCUAAUUCCAUGUGCAAUCGUUCAUUUUUUCAUUAAGUGAAAUCUUCCAUGGUUUGUGAGAAUGAAUGUUUCAUUUCUUGAAAACAUAUAGGAUAAAAUGAAAGUCUUUUUAUUUUUGUUGAACCUGAGAAGCAAAAAUAAAUAUGUGGCUGAAGGAACUUUAGUGAGUAGAGAUAAAAAAUAUGUGAUUGGAGAAAGCAUGCUUGUAGAUCAAUAUGCAACAGUUUUUGUUUCCGCUGUUUCAAGACUUGGAGAUGAGACACUGUUUAGACCUUAUGACAAGUUCCGAACAGUAUAAGGGAUGCUAUUGGUCAUGUUAUUGCAUGGCCUCUAUCACAGGUAAGUACACUUCCAUAUAAUGACUGAUUAUGCUCCAAUGUACAUACUUCAGGUUUAUUAUUUAGGAAGAAUUUUUGUGUUUUUAGGUGAAAAACCCAAUCCCAGCCAUUCCUACACAGCGGCAAAACAAGCCACCAAACACUGGUACAACUCUUACAAAUUCAUCAAAGUACAUUUCUUCUCACACUACUCUUAAAACUUACAUACUACUAUUUUAUCUGUUAUCUUCCUUUUUCAGUGUAGCCCAAGAUUAGAAAAGGAGCGCAUUGCAAGAGCGACAAGCAACUACAGAAGAAUUAGUUUUUAAAUGGACAAAUAUUGUGUAUUAUAUAUAAAGGAUUUCUAGAUUCAUAGGAAAAUUUGGUUCUGGUUGUAUGAUAUUUUCAUAAUUAUUUGCAUCUUUUGUAUGAAUAUUUGAUUUCAUAAAGUUUUGAACUCAAGAUGUUUGUUCCUACUAAUUGAAAUUGUGCUAAUGAGAUGCUUGUGAAUACAAUUGGUUAUAUGGAAGGAUCCCUUUAUAUGAUAUUUCUUGCCUAAGAAUGUGGCUUCUGAUAUCAGUGGAUGCCUUUUACACAACAAUAUUUGUUAUUCCUUCUGCACAAGCGUGUGUUGUGACAAAGUAACUCAGUUUGAAAUGAUGUAACACAAAUUCAAAAUGAAUCAAUUUUUUUAAAGUUAAAUAUAUGUAGUUACAAAGAAGCUUGUGUAUAUUUAGAGACAAAUAUAUCGUCUCUACAUAGCGUGUAUAAGAAUGGGGUUAGGCCCAUGAUGAAUGAAACGACUAUGAGUAAAGAUGUGAUGCUAAUAGAACGACUAUACAUACAUAUAUAUGCUUUUAAAUGUCACAAUACAUCGUCUCAUACCUAGAUAUGCUUUUUACGUCCCAAUAUAGCGUCUCAUGUCAAAGGACCCUUUUGGAUGUCCCAAUAUAGCGUCUCAUAUCUACACACGCUUUUGGACGUCCCAAUAUAGCGUCUCAUGCCAUGUACACACGCUUAGCUAGCGUGUCUACAUGUUUUGAGAGUGUGCAUAGGGAGACGCUUUACUAAGUCGACUUUAUAGUUGCCUAGAGAUGAAAUAACACGUCUGUAGCUAUGGAAUAUGACGUCUCUACAUGUAGUUUUUCUUGUAGUGUUAUGGAUGAUUAUCCAAUUUUUUUAUGCGGGGUUGCAUUUUCCUUCUAGGAAUAUUUUAGAUUCCGACGCGGGUGGUACCUUCAUGGAAAUCACAUUAGGAGAAUCUACUAAACUCCUAGAUAAUAUUAUGGAAAAUUACUCUCAAUGGCAUACCGAAAGAUCUCCUAGUAGUAAAAAAGUGCACGCUAUUGAAGAAAUAAACACUUUGAGUGGAAAGAUGGAUGAAUUAAUGUAAUUGUUUUCUAGUAAGAGUGCUUCUAUUGAUCUCAAUGAAAUGCCUUUGUCUUCUUUGAUUGGAAAUAAUAAUGAAUCUAUGGAUGUGAAUUUUGUUGGUAGGAACAAUUUUGGCAAUAACACGUAUAGAGGUAAUUUCAAUCCUAGGCCGUUUCCUAGUAAUUCCUAUAAUAAUUAUGGUAAUUACUACAACAAUUCUUAUGGAAAUUAUAAUAAGAUUCCCUCUUAUCUUGAGAAUAAUAUUAAAGAAUUCAUUAGCUCGCAAAAAGGUUUCAAUGCUGUGAUUGAAGAAAAAUUGCUCAAGAUUGAUGAUUUGGCUAGGAACAUUGAUAGAAUUUCUCUGGAGAUUGAUUCUUUGAAAAUUAGAUCUAUUCCACCCAAGCAUGAUAUUAAUGAGUCUCUAAAAUCUAAGAGAAUUUCUAUUGAUGAGUGUAAGGAAAGAACCGCUAGAAUACGUGCUAAGCGUGAAUGGCUUGAAAAAGUGUUUUCUCGUGAUAAUAUUGAUGAAGAUCUUAAAGUGAUUGAUGUGACUCCUAUUGAAUCUUUGUUUUCUAGUAUAAAUCCUGAAAAAGAUGGGACUGGAGAUGAGUCAACUUUAGUUAAAAGGCGUCCCAUUGAUUCGGAGUUUAUAGAUCUUAAUGAUAAGAUUGAUAAAAAUGGGAUUGAAGAGGUCAAAACUUUAAACAGCAAUGAGCCCACUCUUUUGGAUUUCAAGGAAUUUAAUUAUGAUAGUUGUUCUUUGAUUGAUUGUGUUUCCUUGUUGCAAUCCAUGUUGAAUUCUCCGCACGCUUAUAAUCAAAAUAAAGCUUUUACUAAACAUAUUCUGGAUGCCAUGAUGAAAUCUUUUGAAGAAAAACUUGAGUUGGAAGUUUCUAUACCUAGAAAUAUUUAUGAUGAAUAGGAACCUACUAUUAAGAUUAAAAUUAAAUAUUAUGAGUGCCAUGCUUUGUGUGAAUUGGGUGCUAGCGUUUCCACAAUUCCAAAAACUUUAUGUGAUGUGCUAGGAUUCCAUGAAUUUGAUGAUUGCUCUUUAAAUUUGCAUCUAGCGGAUUCUACGAUUAAGAAACCUACGGGAAGGAUUAAUGAUGUUCUUAUUGUUGCAAAUAGUAAUUAUGUGCCAAUAGAUUUCGUUGUUCUUGAUAUAGAUUGCAAUCCUAUAUGUCCUAUUAUUCUUGGUAGACCUUUCCUUAGAACGAUUGGUGCAAUUAUUGAUACGAAAAAGGAAAUAUUAGAUUCCAGUUUCCGUUAAGGAAAGGCGUGGAACACUUUCCUAGAAAUAAAAUUAGAUUACGUUAUGAAUCUAUUAUGAGAGCUACCUAUGGAUUGCAUACCAAAUAUGACAAUACCUAGAUGUAUUGCAUUAUGCCAAGCUAGGGGCGUUAAACAAUAGCGCUUGUUGGGAGGCAACCCAAUUUUAUUUUUAUGCUUUUGUUUUUGCUUCUAUUUUUAAGUUCUCACACAUUAUUACCUCUGUAAUAAUUGUGUUUUUUUAAUUAGUGUUUGAGCCAAGUAAGACCUUUGGGAUGGUCUACGGUGUUUGCAAGUUGAUUUUGCUGAAAAACAGAAACUUUCGCUCUCAGUACAAGAAUUUUGUAAAUUCACUGGAACGUGAUUUUUAUCUGAAGUUUUUACACAAAAUUGGUUUACAAAUUUCCCAGAUUUUCCUAAUGUUUCAAAAUAUUUGGAGUUACAGAAGUAUUCGAAGUAAAUUGAUUGCCACAGACUGUUCUGUUUUUGACACAUUCUGUUUUCUUUGUGUUGUUUGCUUAUUUUGAUGAAUCUAUGGGUUGUAUCGGGGGGUAUGAAAAAUGGAGAAGUUGGAAUAAAUUAAAUAUUACAUCAAUAUAAAUAAAUAAUGAGUUCACAAUAGUACCUAAAGUGGUGAUUUAUUUUUCUUAUACUAACGGAUCGCAUGAGUUUUCUGUUGAGUUUUGUGUUCUGAAGUUUUCAAGUUUUGGGUAAAGAUUCGAUGAACUAUGGAAUAAGGAGUGAUAAGAGCCUAAGAUUGGGCAUUCUCAAGACACCCCAAGCCAUAUUCAUUGAUACCAAAGAGCCUAAGCUUGGGGAUGCCCCGGAAGGCAUCCCCUCUUUCGUCUUCAAUCCAUCAGUAAAUUUACUUGAGGCUAUAGUUUUAUUCACCACAUGAUAUGUGUUUUGCUUGGAGCGUCUUGUAUGAUAUGAGUCUUUACUUUUUAGUUUGUCACAACCAUACUUGCUGCACACACCUUUUGAGAGAGACACACGCUGAAUCGUGAAUUUAUUAGAAUACUCUUUGUGCUUCACUUAUAUUUUUUGAGCUAGUCAAUGUUGCUCUAGUGGUUCACUUAUAUCUUUUAGAGCACGACGGUGUUGUGUUUUAUAGAAAUUAUUAAACCGUCGUACCUCACUUAUAUUAUUUUGAGAGUUCUUUAAAUAGCAUGGUAACUGGUUUAGGUUAUGAAUUUAGUCCUAAUAUAAUGGGCAUCCAAGAGGGAUAUAAUAAUAACUUUCAUAUUAAGUGCAUUGAAUAUGAUGAGAAGUUUGAUUCCAUGCAUAUAGUUUUGAGAUAUUAAGAUGGUAAUAUGAGAGUCAUGUUAGUAAGUAAUUGUGAAUUAGAAUAAAUACUUGUGUUAAAUCUUGUGAUUCCCGUAGCAUGCACGUAUGGUGAACCGUUAUGUGAUCAAGUCGGAGCAUGAUUUGUUUAAUGAUUGUCAACCUUUGUGUGGAGGUCGGGAUCGCGCGAUGGUUAACUCCUACCAACCCUUCCCCUGGGAUCAUGCGUCUAAUAAUUUUCUUUGAUAACUAAUAGGCUUUUUCAAUAAGUAUGUGAGUUCUUUAUGACUAAUGCUGAGUUCAUGGAUUAUACACACUCUCACCCUUCCACAUUUGCUAGCCUCUCUAGUACCGUGGAACUCUCGCCGGUACAUUAAACCCACCUUCCUCAAAACAACCACCAUAUAUUUUCCUCAAAACAACCACCAUACCUAACUAUUAUGGCAUUUUCAUAGCCAUUCCGAGAUAUAUUGCCAUGCAACACCACCGUCCCAUUUUUACGACACGCACCAUCACUUCCAUAUUGCUUAUAGAGUCAUACUUUGUUCUAGAUAUCGAGUUGUAAUCUUUUGAGUUGUAAGUAAAUAAAAGUGUGAUGAUUUGCGUUAUUAGAGCAUUGUCCCGUGUGAGAUAAGGAUGAUUAAAGCUAUGAUUCCCUCACAAGUUGGGAUGAGUCUCCGGACUUUACAAAAAAUAAAAGAGGCCAGUGAAGCCCAUAAAAAAUAUAAAAGAGGCCAAAGAAGCCCACCAAAAAAAGAGAAAAAAUGAGAGAAAGAGAGAAGGGACAAUGCUACUAUCCUUUUCCACACUUGUGCUUCAAAGUAGCACCAUGUUCUUCAUAGAGAGUCUCCUAUUUUGUCACUUUCAUAUAACUAGUGGAAUUACAUCUUUUGCACAACCACUUAGUUUCCUUUUUGAGCUUCCAUACACUUAUAGCUCUAGUGCAAUUGUUGCAUGGCAAUCCCUAGUCACUCACAUUGAUAUCUAUUGAUGGGCAUCUCCAUAGACCAUUGAUAUGCCUAGUUGAUGUGAGACUAUGUUCUCCUCUUUUUGCAACCUCCACCACACUCUAUCCCACCUAUAGGGCUAGAUCCAUGGCUCACACUCAUGUAUUGCAUGAGAGUUGAAAAGGUUUGAGAACAUAAAAAGUGUGAAAUAGUUGCUUGAUUUUCAUCAGGGUUGUGCAUGAUUUAGAUACUUUGUGAGGUGAAGAUGGACCAUAGCCAGGCCGUAUGAUUUUGUAGGGUUAACUUUCUAAGAGCAUGUUAUUUCGAAAGGAAGCAAUUACCUUAUUAAUAUGCUUGAAGUACUAUUGUUUUUAUGUGAAUAUUAGACUUUUGUUUUGAAUCUUAUGGAUCUGAAUGCUCAUGCCACAAUAGAUAAUAUUACAAGGAUAAAUAUGUUAGGUAGCAUUCCACAUAAAAAUUAUUUUUUUAUCAUUUACCUACUCGAGGACGAGCAUGAAUUAAGCUUGGGGAUGCUUGAUACGUCUCCAACAUAUCUAUAGUUUUUGAUUGUUCCAUGCUAUUAUGUUAUCUGUUUUGGAUGUUUUAUAUGCAUUAAUAUGUUGUUUUAUAUUAUUUUUGGGACUAACCUAUUAAUCUAGAGCCUAGUGCCAGUUUCUUUUUUCCCACAUUUUUGAGUAUUGCACAUAAGGAAUAUUAAACGGAGUCCAAACAGAAUAAAAUCUCCGGAAUGAUUUUUCUUGGACCAGAAGAAACACAUGAGACUUGGAGUAGGGGGCAGGGCAUGUGUUGGGAGGCCACAAGCCUGCAGGGUGCGCCCUAGGGGGUCGUCGCGCCCCUGGCUUGUGGGUCCCCUUCAAGUCUCCUAACCCUAUUCUUUUGCCAAUAAAUUCCCAAAUAUUACCAUAUCGCAGAAGAGAGCCACGAAAAUACUUCUACGCCGCCGGGAGCCUAUGUUCCCGUGAGAUACAAUAUGGGAGCCUUUUCCGGUAAUCUGCCGGAGAGGGAAUUGAUCAUGGAGGGCAAAUACAUCAACUCCAUUGGCCCUCCGAUGAUGCGUGAGUAGUUCAUCACAGACCUACGGGUCUAUAGCUAGUAGCUAGAUGGCUUCUUCUCUCUCUUUGAUCUUCAAUACCAUGUUCUUCAUGAUCUUCAUGGAGAUCUAUCCGAUCUAAUACUCUUUGCGGUGUGCUUGUCGAGAUCCGAUGAAUUGUGAGUUUAUGUUAAGAUUAGCCAUGAAUAUUAUUUGAGUCUCUUCUGAAUUCUUAUAUGCAUGAUUUCAUAUCUUUGCAAGUCUCCUCAAACUAUUGGUUUGGUUUGGCCAACUAUAUUGGUAAUUCUUGCAAUGGGAGAAGUGCUAAGUUUUGGGUUCAAUCUUGCGGUGUCCUCACCCAGUGACAUAGUAGGGGUAGCGAGGCACGUAUUGUAUUGUUGCCAUCGAGGAUAAAAAGAUGGGGUUUUCAUCAUAUUGCUUGAGUUUGUCCCUCUACAUCAUGUCAUCUUACUUAAUGCGCUACUCUCUUCUCCAUGAACUUAAUACUCUAGAUGCAGGCAUGAGUCGAUCGUGUGGAGUAAUAGUAGUAGAUGGAGAAUCAUUUCGGUCUACUUGACACGGACGUGAUGCUUAUAUGCAUAAUCAUUGCCUUGGAUAUCUUCAUAAUUAUUCGCUUUUCUAUCAAUUGCUCGACAGUAAUUUGUUCACCCACCGUAUUAUUUUCCUUUAUGAGAGAAGCCUCUAGUGAAACCUACGACCCCCGGGUUUAUUUCCCAUAUUAUAUUUUUAGAUCUAUAAACCAAAAAUAUCUUGCUGCAAUUUAUUUACUAUUGUUUCCGCAAUCUUUUAUAUCUAUCUCUACCAGAUCUCAUCCUUGCAAACACUCUGAAGGGAUUGACAACCCCUCUAUAGCGUUGGGUGCAAGUGUUUGAUUGUUUGUGUAGGUACUAUGAUUGGGGCCUUGCUUAUUACUCCUACUGGAUUGAUACCUUGGUUCUCAACAAACCGAGGGAAAUACUUAUUACUUCUCUACAUCACCCUUUCCUCUUCAAGGGAAAACCAACGCAAGCUCAAGAGGUAGCAAUUGACAGUAAAAAUUCAUACUUCACAACAGAAAAAAUGCAUAAUAAUUGACAAGAAUAUAGUUCAACAUCAGCAUUGCACAUGAGGGUUCAACAUGACCAUAAAAGUUCAACAACGAGCUAAACAAAUAGUUGAAAAGUUCAACAUCACCAAAUAGUAGUUCAACAUCACCAAAUAGUAGUUCAACAUCACCAACAUAGCCACACACUAAAUAACCAUCAAGUGCCUGCAUCACCUUCUUCCUCUCUUUGAGCACCCUCAUUCCAGGUUUUCUUCUAGCAACGAGGCAUCGGUCUUUGAACGAAUCCGGAGAAAGUACAUCAGUAUGAGGGUUAGAAACCCUUUUUGCUUGGGAAACUAGUGGUGCAUCCAUCAUCCGAUGAGAUGUUAAUCUCCUUCGGGCCCUCGUCCUGUGAGUCCUCCUCUUAUUCGUCAGAUUCAUAAAUAUCCAUAGAAUAUCCACCAGUAUGGCUAGCUGUAGCACCAACGUGACUAGAAAUAGCGGAAGCUCCACUUGCAUGCAUCGAUGUGCCAGGAGCAUGCAGAUCAAUGUUACCAGGGGCUGCACACCCAAGCAUGGGGGCUAGCCUCUAACAACGUGUUCUUAAGCGCUGCAAUGACAACAACAACGACAAACACAAUUUUCAAUGCAAAGCAAACAUUUGUGUAGUAAACCAUAUGGUAAGGAGUUCGAAUGCUUACUUUCAUAGGGUCCCUCAGUGUAGUCUUGGACUGUGUGAGUGCGUUUGAGCCUUCGAUGAUACUUCUGUUGAGCUCAUAAGUCUGCAAAUUCAAAGAAAGAGCUCCAAAGUGUGCAUAAUCUAGAGGAGAUGAAAACCAUUCUCGACAAAAUUUCAAAAGACUUACCACUCGGCCAGUCAUGGGCGCGUACUGUCUAUGUUCACGUUGUGUACUUAUCUUCUGAGUCACAAUUUUGAUGGGCUCCAGUGAUAUCUGCGUCCGUCCACCUUGGUCUCAAACGCAACCAAAAUUGCCUCUGAUUCUUGUGAUCUGCGUUGGGUUUUCCAUGAAGAGGAACGGGUUAUCACAACACAAUGUGGGUAAGUAUUUCCCUCGGUUACUAAACCAAGGUUUAUCAAACCAAUAGGAAUAUCAACAACAACCGUCUUGAGCGACUGCACACACACACGAACAAACAAUUUGCACCCAACGCAGGGAAUAGGGUUGUCAAUCCCCUUGGUAUUGUUAUUUGCAAUCAAGUGAGAUGUGUAGAUGAUUGUAAAAUGCAAAAUAAAAUGAAAAUAAGUAAAUGGCAGCAAGAUAUUAAAGGUUUUGUAAAUAUAUCGUGAAUAGAACCGGGGCCAUAGUUAUCCCUAAUAGCAUCUCUCAUGAAAAUAACAUAUAGUGGGUAAACAAAUUACUUGGGCAAUUAAGAGAAAAGCGGAUAGUUAUGCGAUACUCACGGCAAUGAUGAUGUGUAUAUAUGCAUCACGUCCAUAAACAAAUAGGUCGACUCCUACCUGCACCUAUUACUAUUACUCAACUCAUCAACCGCUAUCCAACAUGCAUCUAGAGUAUUAAGUUAAAUAGAGUAAUGCAUGGAGAACGAUGACAUGAUGUAUACAAAGUAAACUCAAGCAAUAUGAAUAAAACCCAUCGUGUUAUCCUUAGUAGCAACAACACAAAGACACAUCUUGUCCCCUUCUAUCAAUGGGAUAUAGAAAUUUGUCAGAUUGAACCUACUACAACGCACCUCUCUCUCCGAAGAAAUAUCAAUCUAGUUGACCAAACUAUUUCAAUAGAUUGGAGAGAAUUACGAAUCUAUCAUAAUCAUGCACAUAAUAAUGAUGUUAGUAUUCAGAGAAGACUCAAAUAUUUAUCAUGAGUAAUCUGAACAUACACCCAUAAUUCAUCGGAUUCCAACAAAUGCACCGCACAAAAGGAUUACAUCAUAUGGAUCAAAGCGAAGAGGUGAUUAUCAUUGUAUUGAAGAUCAAGAGAGAGAUAUCCAUCUAGAUACUAGAUAUGGACCCAUAUGUGUGUGGUGAACUACUCAGACAUCAACAUGAGGGCGACAUGGUUGAUGAAGAAGCCCUCCGUGAUCGACCCCCCUCCAGCAGGGUGCCGAAAUAGAGCUCUAGAUGGCCAUCCCCAUCGGAAUAUAGACUUGUGGUGGCGUAAAAAGUGUUUCAGGACUACUUCUAGUGUUAUUAGGAUAUAUGAUAAUUUAUAAGCUAGAGAACAGAGUUGGGAGGUGAUAACCCACAAGUAUAGGGGAUCACAACAGUUUUCGAGGGUAGAGUAUUCAACCCAAAUUUAUUGAUUCGACACAAGGGGAGCCAAAGAAUAUUCUCGAGUAUUAGCAGUUGAGUUGUCAAUUCAACCACACAUGAAAGACUUAGUAUCUGCAGCAAAGUUUCAGUAGCAAAGUAGUAGGAUAGUAACGGUAGCGGCAGUAACAGUAGCAGUAGUGACUUGUGUAGCAAUUGUGACAGCAGUAGCGGUAAAGUAACUUAGCAAGGACUAGUAUAGGAAAAGCUCGUAGGCAUUGGAUCGGUGAUGGAUAAUUAUGUCAGAUGGCAUUCAUCAUGUAACAGUUAUAACAUAGGGUGAUAUGCAACUAGCUCCAGUUCAUCAAUGUAAUGUAGGCAUGUAUUCUGUAUUUAGUCAUACGUGCUUAUGGAAAAGAACUUGCAUGACAUCUUUUGUCCAUCCCUCCCGUGGCAGCGGGGUCCUAAUGGAAACUAAGGGAUAUUAAGGUCUCCUUUUAAUAGAGAACCGGAACAAAACAUUAGCACAUAGUGAAUAUAUGAACUCCUCAUACUAUGGUCAUCUUCGGGAGUGGUUCUGGCUAUUGUCACUCCGGGGUUGCCAGGUCAUAACACAUAGUUGGUGACUACAACUUGCAAGAUAGGAUCAAGAAUACACGUAUAUUGAUGAAAGCAUAAUAGGUUCAGAUCUGAAAUCAUGGCACUCGGGCCCUAGUGACAAGCAUUAAGCAUAGCAAAGUAGUAGCAACAUCAAUCUUAGAACAUAGUGGAUACUAGGGAUCAAACCCCAUCAAAACUAACUCGAUUACAUGAUAGAUCUCAUCCAACCCAUCACCGUCCAGCAAGCCUACGAUGAGAUUACUCACGAACGAUGGAGAGCAUCAUGGAAUUGGCGAUGGAGGAUGGUUGAUGAUGAUGACGACGUCGAUUUCCCCUCUCCGGAGCCUAGAACGGAAUCCAGAUCUGCCCUCCCGAGGAAGAACAGGAGGUGGCGGCGGCUCCAUAUUGUGAAACGCGAUGAACUCUUCUCUCCUAAUUUUUCCUGGGCGAGAGAGACUUUAUAGAGUUGGAGUUGGAGGCUGCGGAGCUACGUGGGCCCCACAAGCCUACCAGGCGCGCCCUAGGGGGGCGCCUCCUGGGCUCGUGGGCUCCUGCUCUGUGUCUUAGGGUAAUUCUUGCACAAGUAUUUUUUAUAUAUUCCACAAAAAAUCCUCGUAAGUUUCGAGGUCAUUUCGAGAACUUUUAUUUCUGCACAAAAACAACACCAUGGCAAUUGUGCUGAAAACAGCAUGAGUCCGGUUAGUUCCAUUCAAAUCAUGCAAAUUAGAGUCCAAAACAAGAGCAAAAGAGUUUGGAAAAGUAGAUACGAUAUAGACAUAUCAGGAGGGCCUCGAGGGCCCCAUAAGCCAUCAGGGUCCGCCCCAGGCCGCGCCAUGUCAGCUUAUGGGGCCCUCGAGUGGCCUCCAGACUUCUUUUGAUGCUCGUUGGUCUUCUUUCGAUCCGAAAAAAACUCCGAAAAGUUUAACGUCAAUCGGACUUCGUUUGGUAUUGAAAACCCAAAAUAGAAAAACAUGCAGAUAACAACAACUCACACUGGGCACUCGGUCAAUAGGUUAGUGCUUAGAAAUAAUUUAAAUUGGUAAAUAAAUAUAAAAAAGUAUCCUAAAAUGGUAAUAUAUCAGCAUGUAACAAUAAAAAAUUAUAGAUAUGUUGGAUAUGUAUCAAGCAUCCCCAAGCAUAAACAUAACUUUUUAUGUGACAUGCUACCAAUUAUGUAACCUUAUGCAUGUAUGCUCAUUGAGAAAUGAUGAGUUAAUAAACAUUAACAUAGUAAUACUUAUAAGUAUAAGCAACAAAAUGAUUAAUUUUUCAAAGUAUACGAUCCUCAAAGGUUGUUUUAACCCCAUUCAUCUUAUUAUAUUAGCAAGGCAUGGUUCCGUCUUCACCACAUUAAUACAAAUUUCAAGCACCACGGAAUUGGAUUGUAAUUCUUCAAUAUGCAUCAACUUUUUAUUCUUCACGCAAUACACGAGCGUGAACCGUAGGACAUAGCAUAUAGGUGGAAUAGAAUAUGGUGGUAGGUCUCAAAGGGGUAAAAGAUGGAGAAGAUAAUCUCAAAUCAACUAGGCAUACCAAGAGAUCAUGGAGAUGCCCGCCAAUAGAUAUAGAUGGAAGGAGUAGGGAUUGCCAUGCAAAUGAUGCACUCGAGCUAUAAGUGUAUGAAAGCUCAACUGAAGGUAAGUAGGCAUGUGCAUCCAACUUGCUUUCUCAUGAAGACCUUGGGCAUUAGAGGAAGCCCGUCAUCGGAAUACAAAAGCCAAGUUUAUGAAAAAGUGAUUCCCACUAGCAUAAGGACGAUAUAACAUGAGACUGUCUAUAUGAAGAACAAGGUGCCACUUUGAGGCACAAGUGUGGUAAAGGAUAGUAACAAAGUGCCUUCUCUCUUUUUUCCUCAUUCAUUUAUUAUUAUUAUGGUGGGUUCAUUUGGCCUCCCCCAUUUUCAUUCCCUCAAUGGGACAAUGCUCUAAUAAUGAUGAUCAUCACAAUUUUAUUUACUUACAACUCAACAUGAGAACUGCUAGGACGGAAUCACUCUGUAUGAAUGUCUCUGGCAGUGUACCAGGAUGUGCAAAGAUCUAGCAUGACAUGUAUCAAAAAUAUGAUGAACGGUCGCUUUGCCACAAAUACUAUGUAAACUGUAUAUGAUAAUGCAAAGCAUUAUGAUGAUGAACGAACUAGUCAUGUGAAGUGACGAUGGAAUUUGCAUGGCAAUAUAUCUCAGAGUGGCUAUGGAAAUGCCAUGAUAGGUAGGUAUGGUGGCUGUUUUGAGUAAUAUAUAAGAAGGAUUAUGUGCAACAGAGCAUGCCAUGUCACGGGGUUGGGAUGCACCCGAUAAAGUUGUACCGAUCCUCAAGGUGAGAAUGGGCAAUGCACGAUACCGAAGAGGCUAGCAAAUAUGAGGAGGUGAGAUUGUGUAUGUUCAUGGUGUCACAUUAGUCAUACAUAACUCAUAUACUUAUUGCAAAGUUUUAUUAAUUUUAUUACAAAUCAAAGUACUACUUGCAUGCCCUGAGGGAGAGGGUUGGUAGGAAUUAACCAUCGCAUGAGUCCGACUCGAAACAACACUAGGAUUUCAACGGGGAAUAGAAAUGCUCACACACCAUCACGACGCCCUUUUAAUUUUUAGACGAACAAGAAGUUAACAUCUCUUAAUUUGACACCUCUCUAAAUUAAUAAUAAUGCACUCACACCUUUUUCAUAUCACCAUAUCACUAUCAUUAACCCAUAAUUUCUCUAUAUGUGUUACAUGAUGGCUUUAAUUAUCAUUCAUUGAAUACCUAGUAGUUUUUGUCUAGUCUUAUGACCCAUGCAAAUUUCCGUCACUAUUUAUUUAACUCCCAAACAAAUAUAAGUGAAUAAUCAUAGCAUAAUAUUUCUAUAAAAUCUACAUGCACCGUCCUAAAAAAGAUAUAAGUGAAGUGGUAGAGCAACUCGUAAGCUCAAAUGAUACAAGACACAUAUAGUAUUCUAACAAAUUAUUAUGAUGAUGUAUCUCUCCCAAAUAGGCGUGUCCAGCAAAUGAUGAUUGUGGAAAACUGAAAGUAAAAUUAAACAAAUGCAAAUGACGCUCUAAGAAAAACUCAUGUCAUGCGAUGAAUAAAAAUGUAGCUCCAAGUGAUAUACCGAUAGAUUGAGACGAAAGAGGGGAUGCCUUCCGGGGCAUCCCCAAUUUUAGAAGCUUGAGUCUUCCUAGAAUAUCACCUUGGGGGUGCCUUGGGCAUCCCCAAGCUUAGUGUUUUGUUGCUCCUCAUUCCUUUGUUUAUCAGGAUAGUACCAAAACUUGAAAACUUCAAUCACAUAAAACUCAACAAAAGUUUGGGAGAUCUGUUAGUAUAAGUAACAUAUCAAAUACUUUUAGGUACUAUUAUAAGUUGAUUCUAAUUUUAUUUUAGCAUAAGUUAUUGUAUUCUAAUUUCUCCAAGGCUUAUUCUCCUCGGUACAAUCCAUAUCAUCCUCAAAACAAGCAAACUACGCAAGCAAUAACAGAAUUUGACUAAAAUAGAACAGUUUGUAGUAAUCUGUAAUGAACCUAUACUAAUGUAAGUCCAAAACUUCUUAACAAUUAGAAUUUCCUGAGGAAUUUGUAUAUUAGUACUGUGUAAAAAAAUCAGCUUAAAAAGACGUCCGAGUAAAAUCAGAGAAAAUUUUCACUGGAUGUCAAAGUUUCUAUUUUUACCGUAUCAAUUCUACUCAUCAUACAAAUUAUCCUAAUGGAUUUACUUAGCACAAACACAAACUAAAACAAAAAAUACAAUCAUUGUAGAGGCAAUAAUCAUGUUAUCACAAACAAACAAAAAUAAGUGAUAACUAAUGAGUUGUCUCCGAACAAGCUCUUUCUUUAUAGCCAUUAAGAUCGGCUUGAAAUUUCAAUGAUGCUCACAUAAAAGACAAGAAUUGAAUCUCAAAGAGAGCAUCAUAAAACAUAUGACAAGAACAUUUAAGUCUAACAUACUUCAUGUGCAUAGGGCAUUUUAUAAGCAAACAAUUUAUGAAGACAAGAAGUGUCUAGCAUAAGCAAGUAGGAAGAAUGAAGCAUUAAAUUUUUGAAUAUCAAGAGAGGUAAGUGAGUAACAUGAACAUUUCUAAAACCAUAUUUUCCUCUCCCAUAAUGAUUACAUGUAGGAUCAUAUUCAAAUUCAGUGUUGGGUUCAAAUAACGAGACCAAGGGGAUUGACAACCUUGUUGCCCGUGUUGGGUGCAAGUUGUUUGUUCUUUUAUUUGCAACCGCUAAAGACAGUUGUUGUUGAUAUUCCUAUUCGUUUGUUAAACCUUGGUUUCAUAACUAAGGGAAAUACUUACCCACACUAUGCUGCGAUAACCCGUUCCUCUUCACGGAAAACCCAACGCAGAUCACAAGUAUCAGGAAGUAUUUCUGGCGCCUUUGCCGGGGAAUAUCAUGAAAAACUAUCAAGUAACUUAACACAAAUUAUCAUUCACUUGUUUUUCUUUUUAUUUGCUGUUAUAUCUUGCUUAAUUAAAAAAAUAGAAACAAAAAUAUUUACCUUUGCUUGUCACUAGUUUGCAUCUUCGCUCUCUAGUUUACUUGCCUAGCUAUGCUAUCUUUAUCUUUGUCACACCAAAAUAGAAAGUAAAAUGCAAAUAUUAAGAUAACUGGAUCCUCAUCCACUAGCUAAUCUUUUCAAAAGACUCGUUUAUGCUGAAACAAUUUCUAGUGAGAGUGCACUAUAUUAUCUUUAUGAGAUCUUGCUUGAAAAUCAUGAAUCCAAAAAUUGUGAAAAUUAUAAAGUGAUUCAUGAUAGUUCCUUUAAUGAAAAUCAUGAUUGCUAUAUUGUUGAAUUUGAAUAUGAUCCUACAUGUAUUUAUUAUGAGAGAGGCAAAUAUGGUUAUAGAAAUGUUCAUGUUACUCACUUACCUAUCUUGAUAUUCAAAUUGUUAAUACUUCAUUCUUCCUACUUGCUGAUUCUAGACACUUUUUGUCUUGAUAAAUUGUUUGCUUAUAAAGUGUCCUGUGCAUAGGAAGUAUGUUAGACUUAACUGUUCUUAUCACAUGUUUUAUGAUGCUCUCUUUGAGAUUCAAUUCUUGUCUUUUAUGUGACCAUCAUUGAAAUUUCAAGCCUAUCUUAAUGGCUAUAAAGAAAGAGCUUGUUGAAAGGCAACCCAAUAGUUAUCAUUUACUUUUGUUUGUUUGUGAUAACAUGAUUAUUGACUCGAUAAUGAUUGUGUUUUUAGGUUUUAGUUAGUGUUUUUGCCAAGUAAAGCCUUUGGGAUGAUUUGCAUGAUGAGUAGACUUGAUACGGUGCAAAAACAGAAACUUUGAUGUCCAGUGUAGAAUUUCUCCGAUUUUACCGGAAUAUAUUUUUAAGCUGAUUUCUUUUACAAAGUAUUGCAAUAAAAAUUCCUCAGGUCAUCCUAAUUGUUGAGAAUUUUUGGAGUUACAGAAUUAUAGGUUCAUUACAUAUUACUACACACUGUUCUGUUUUGUGGAUGGAGGAGAUGGAGAGCGGAGGUGAGGUGUGCUUCUUGACUAGCGCCUAGACACAUUUAUAUAGCACGAUAAUGCAAAAAGCUAUCUGGAGAGAUGUUUAAUGUUCGUCGGAACAUGCACAAACAGGUGGUGCUCACGGCGCUAGAGUAGGUUACUUGGCACACAUAUCGGUUUAAAGGAGGUAGGCGGGCAGACGGAUCCCGUUUUAGUGUGGAGAGAAGGUGUGAACAUCUGACGAUCAGUGGGUGGCACUCUCGAUUGGCGAGCCUCUUUCAUGUCGGCUCCAGUGAGUGGUCGCGUCCUCUCUAGCCAACAUGAAUGCGGGCAUCUAGAAUUGGGAGGGAGCACAAGAGGGCAUGUGAAAUGUGUGUUUGGUGGGCCAGGUUAGUUAGAUGUGGGCGUGGCAGUGGUCUAGACGCCUACACCCCCUCCAAGUUUGUUUGUGGUCGGGUGGCCAAAGAGAGCGUCUCGACUGCCAAACAGACCAAUGUAGCCCCGUGUUGGAUGGCAAAACACGCCUAGACCACCGAACAAAUCAAUGUAGACGCGUGUUGGAUGGCGAAACACAUCCACACCGCGUGAUCCAGACCGUUACAGAUGGUUUGAGGGUCGACAUUAAAGAUGCUUUUACUAGUCAAAGUUAUAUCCCACUAUGACUAGGCUAAAAAAAUGUAACGGGGCCUAGCCACUGUGCGUUUAUGCCGUGAUAUUAUGUGGUUUCAUUUUCGUGAUGAAACUGGAGCGAGGCCACCCCCUAUUUUCCUUAAAAUAUAAUGUAGUCCCUCCUAAAGAAAUAUAAGAGUGUUUAGAUCACUAGUUUAAUGAUCUAUAUGUUAUUAUAUUUCUUUGUAGAGGGAGUAUAUAAUAUGAUGCGGAAAUGCAAGAAAAGUUUGAUGUUUAUUGUGUUGAGCUGCAUCAACUAUGUACCCAGUCUAGAUUGAUCAAACACCUAUAUCUAAUUUAGCUUUAUCAAUAUGAGUCAACACCAGAUAUGAUUAGAGGUGUCGCAUGAUCUGCUGAAGGAAGCUGCUAGAAGAUGACAUGGCAACAAGAGGUAGCCUUCAUAGUCAGGCCAGCAACCAGUGCCAAUGAUCAAAUGACAACGAAAGAUGGGGCAAAAAUAUGUUACAAUGGCGACCCACAUGAUUAGGUUUUCUUGUACUCCCACCCACACCGUCGUCGUUCCUCCCCGACUUUGAUGGUCUUUGGGCCAUGGAUGUGCGCCCCCUAGCGGGAUGAACUCCUCUCUCAUUCUUGUUAGGUUCAACGUCUUCGUUGGGGUUGUGUGGCAGCGGCAAUGCCCCUCGAUGGAAUAAUGUAUCCCACAUGCGAUGCCCGCCCGUGGUGUUUCUAGCAUCGCCGGAGGGCGUAUGGAGGCGUGUCUCCAUCAGAUCUUGUGGGAUUCGGUCGGUGCUUGUCUUUGUUGGUUAUUUUUUGCAUACAAUCUUUAUUCGUGCGUUUAUAUAUUUUAUCCUUUUGAUCACGACUCUCUUCAUCAACGUUAGUUGCCGCUUUGUUGCCUGGUCCCAUGGGGACUUAACACCGACUUUUCAGUUGUCUAUUACAAUAAGGUUUACCUGACUCUCGUGAGGUGGGGGAGGGGGCGAUGAUAAUGGCACGACUUCGGCAUGCUCGAGUGCUUGUAGUCAUCGCUAGGUGGUAUAUGGACCUGAUUAUAAUUUUGAUUACCUGUGGUCUUCUCUGUACUAUCCUUAUAGAUUAUAAAUAGGUUGAAGUUUCUCCAACAUAAAAUAAGAUCAAAGACCAAGAAAAAUUUGGUGUAGAACACUUUUCUUUUGUAAAUAGUACUCUAUGCGUUUUUUGUAUGGAGAUGAAAUUGGCUCCUCCUCUGGUGAUGGCAGGGGUGACUCUGCAAGCUUUCUCAACCCACUUAGCGCGUCGGCGACAACUGUUGUCCUCGCCUCCACUUCUCCAUCAGAAGGUACCAUCGCCCCUCCUUCGCCCCCGACCUCGCUUGCUUCCCCAACUGCCAUCCGUUUGGCAGCAUGGGCGGACCUCACAGAGGAGGAUGACCGAGCUAUGGGAUGCCCCAUCCUCCAUCGUGCUGCAGUGAGCCCGCUCUGUACCCAUGUCAGCGUGGAUAUGUCUGCUGUUAUCGCUGGCGCUCCCCCUAGGUGUGGACGCUGUGCCGGCCUGGUGCGGCACAUCCCAUGACAUAGGCCUCUUUGCUUUGCUUGAGCACCGACGGGAAAAGGUUUGCCCUUACGGAGUAGGGUGUGCCAUGGCUGCUCCCAUGGCUGUGGGGGGGGGGGGGGGGGGUCAGGGACGUGUUGACGGGGGACUAGCCUGCUUCUCCUAGCGUGCUGGUGAAAGAGCAUGCCUCCCCAUGGUUUUGGUAAUUGAUGACAAUCUCUAUGGACGAGUGAUUGCCUUGAGUUAAAUUUGAAGGGUUUGUUCAUAUGCAUUGCUUGAAGACCAUCUCUUUGUUUAAAGGUUAUUAGAAGAACAAUUGUAACACCUUGUGUGUGACAAAAGCGCAUAUAUAAAUACUUUACUCCGACUUUUGUUAGGACAAUAACUAAUUGGAUACUUUUACUAAAGUGCUACAUAACCCUGUGUAUUUUGCAUGCCUUCACGAUCUCUUAUAAUUUUACGCUACCAACUCACUUGCAUUGCUAAUUCAUACAACCAUUCAACUCUGUUUAGUAUUUUUUUUGUGGGUCCUGUUUUUUUUUCUUUUUUUUGCGAUGGAAAAGAGAGCUUUAUUUAGUUACUGAUAGGAUUUCAAUCGGUAGCCAGAAGGCUAAUUAGAGCAUCAUGGGCAUCCGACAACCAUAACUCGGUUCGACGUUUCGUUCUUAACAAAUAGGCUAUUCGAUCUGUAGCCCUAUUCUGCGAACGAUCAAUACAUAAAAGACAGUGACAUGCCAGACAGAGAGUGAAUUUCCAUGAUGCCUAGUCAAUUCUAGACAAGAUGCCAAACAAAUCCAUGUUUUUGGUUCUGAUUGGCUCAUUCUUAGCUGAGCACAAUGGCACGUGUUGGCUUAACUUGCAUGAAGCCAUCUUGUGGAUUAUACCUGAUCUUGGAGUUGAUUUAUUUCAUGGACCAACCCAUGUUCACACAUUCAAUGUUAUUUCUACACAUUUAUGGCACCCCCCCUCUCACAUUCUUGAUAUAUAAAAUCGUGAACCUGUUGCAUGGUUCACUUCCAACUUGCGCAUUCUUCAUGAUUUUUGGUUGCUAUGUCCUAGCAGACCAUAAGAGUCUCAAUUCCCUCACCAAAAAGUGCAAUCUUUCUACUAUUGCAAGAAUCUAGUACUUGGAAUGCGUGGCAUCCGGUAAACUGUAGAAGCAAACUGCCUCCAUAAGUCUUCCUUGCACCGUGGGCAAAUUGGUUCGUUCAGGCUGCUAAGUAAAAAUAAAAGGCAACAAUAGAGUCAGACCGAUCAAAACUGCCACAACACCAAAGUUCUCAUCAUCAUGGCACGCUUGCAUCACAUUUGCAUCACUAUGUACGGAUGGCAUGCUGCUGGCCCGAGUCGCGUAUGAAGAUGUUACGUCGUAUGUUCACUCUAUACUAUUCCUGAAAUAAAUGCUUGUCCCGGCCGUCAGGUGGUAGUUAAAUGUGCUGCCAAUGAUGUUUUCAUACUCACAUGCAUUGUUUUGGCCUUGUGGAAAGCAUAUUUGGAUUGAUUUUCUUUUGUCAUCCACAUGUAUACUGAAAAACAAAAAUGUUUUCUAAAGAUCCAACAGUCCAUUUUGAUUACUAAUUAUCUUAUAAUGGAUAGCCAAUAUCCCCUUAAUGUAACAUGUAAAAUUCACCCAAAUGGGAUUGAGAACGCUCACACUUUCCCUUAACUUUCCCAAUCUACUAGAGGACCAGGCCACUGCCCUCGUUGCCACUCUUUAGCCUCGUUGUCAUCUUCACCCCCCACACUCCGAUGUCACACCUAUGCUGAUGUUCUGGAGAUGGCCGUACAUCUCUACAGUCCGGGCGCAGAGAUGCACAAAAAAUCAUGCAAUGACAUCCCUAUAAACAUAGCCUUUCCAUGUCUUUGAUGCGAAAUGAAAAAAUAGUAAUAUGCUCAGGCCACAAGAUAUUUCAAUGAGAUUCGUGCAAUAUUCGGAGUUCAACAUGUAUAGGAUAGAUUGUGUAUCGAACCAGCACCCAUGUGUAUGCAUGUACAUGUUGGAUACCAAUAUGCAUGGCGAAUCGAUUAAUUUACUGGUUUGCAUGAAUGUAUAUCAGGAUUGACCUGUUAAUGCAAAUUCGUGUGAGAUUUUUUUGUCAAGCUGAUGCACCCUCUUCAAAUAUCUCAAUUUUACAGGAUUCCUGUGGUUGAUAUUAUGACCAUCGGAGGUAAAACUGCUAUCCUGUGAGCUUCCUCUCUGGGUAACCUCGUCCCUGGCAUAUGCUUCAACAAGUUUAUGUUGACACCUCAUCGUAAACCUCUUAUUCAUAGUGGUUGACUCACCACUUUCCGAGCUAGCAAAAUCAUAACUUGCACCAAAAUGUCUCCCCAUUUCCGAUUCAACGGAUUACAAACUGCCUGAAGCUUAUUCCAUUUUUUGGUCAUACGCGGGUUUAAAUUACCAUGUCCAUAUGAAACCUCCGAUCUCUUUUGACUCGCCAUGGUAUAACCUGUUUUAAUCCCUUUCUUUCUAAAUUCAUUCCUAUGGUUAACUAAUUGCAUAUUACUGCUCUUCUUUACAUUGCGAGUUUUUUUGUUCUAAAUAGACAAUUUCAACUACAACAGAUUAUUUAAUCAUACCAGAUACCUUAUGAAACGAGCAUGCGUCCUUAUGGGCAAGUUAUUAGCAAAUGGCAUUUUCUCCAUUUGAUCUAUUAGUAAACAUGCGAUUGUCAAAUGCAGUUCUGAAUCUUCAAAGAAGCAUGAAACGCUACAGCAGCAAAACAGAACACAUUCAGCAUAAACCAAGAAUGAUACAUACAAAGAAAAUCCUUUCGGAUAAUACUAUAUCCAUUAUUUUCGCUUAAGCACGACCUCUAACGAAUUAAACUCACGAGCUAGUAAGGAACGCAUGUACCAGAUCCAUGCCAAACCCAUUGCUUUCCGUAAAAUAAUAACUUAAUAAACAUAUGUAAGUAGUUGAAAUAUAGUUAGAUAAAAGUUUCUAGAAUAUACUUUCAGUUGCAGCUAGCAGCGAUGCCAAAUCAAACAGUAAGUUGCAGUUGAAUAUGACAAUUUAUAGUUGUCGUUCCUUUUUUAAGGCCAUGAUUUUUUGUUGUACUGUAGUGGUACAUGGAGUGACACCUGGUGUUUCGACAUUUCUGCAUUAAAAAUGUGCUCCCAACUGCCUUUUUUUGACUUACCAUCUCAAAUUCACUCUACAUAUAGAUCUCUUGGCUCAAAAGUCAUUGUCUUCAUGUGCCCUGCCUCUGCUGUUACUUACUCCUCUCUUGUGCCCUGCCUCUGCUUUUGCUCGUGUGUUUUGUUCUUAAAACUUGUUCGGUUAGCUUGUCCUCCACAAAUUAAGAUAGUCAUCUCAUAAUCCGGCAUGUUUUUUUUUUCACAUCAAGUUUGGAUGCACCAGGUAGCCAGGCAUGCGUCCACAGUCCAGUGUCUCGAAAUGGACGGCAUCAGGAAACCACCGGCAAGUCUAUUACUGAACGGCCAUUGAUUUAGGUUGAAUGUAUCCUGCAGAAGAGCGAUGGUAAAGGUCAAGCGCCAUCUCCCACCCGUGUGGGUGGACCAUGCAGUUCGUCUUGUCGUCUUUUACUCGUAGGCGGUACCUGCAUCACGCUCAAUCAUUGAGAGGAUAUGUGGAAAGAUGAUCACAACACUGAUGUCUAGGUCAUUAACUAGCAAUGCAACAUACUUCCUCCGUCCGGAAAUACUUAUUCUAUAAAUAGAUGAAUCUAGACUGAUUUUAGUUAUAAAUACAUUCAUUACAUUCAUUUUUAGGAUAAGUAUUUUCGAACAGAGGGAGUAGAAUACAGUAGUAGACACUUGUGGCCAAUUUCUACGGACUGUGCUUACGGACGCCAUCAAGGUCUCACCUCUCACGUGGUUAGCGGAGAUUGAAACGGCUGGUCAUCGUAUUCCUCCAUAAAGCGGCGAUUUGACGCCACGUCUGUCCGUAGACUCCUUGAGUAGCAAAUCAUCCGUAAGAAGAGCAUUAUUGUAAUAGGACUGACUAAGACAUCAGUCACUCAAGAUACGGGACACUAAUCACAAGAGAAACGCUCGUUGCUAGUCACCUGGGAGCUCGUAUAAGGUUUG
rnacentral:lncRNA from 1 species